ACAACACCUGGACCGUCGGUCUACCGAGCAAUAUGUAGCUUGGUGGAAGAUCUACCCUUUGUCGU
rnacentral:pre_miRNA from 1 species